rnacentral:misc_RNA from 1 species
GAUGAAGAACGUAGUGAAAUGCGAUAAGUAAUGUGAAUUGCAGAAUUCAGUGAAUCAUCGAAUCUUUGAACGCACAUUGCGCCCGCCAGUAUUCUGGCGGGCAUGCCUGUUCGAGCGUCAUUUCAACCAUCAAGCCCCCGGCUUGUGUUGGGGACCUGCGGCUGCCGCAGGCCCUGAAAAGCAGUGGCGGGCUCGCUGUCACACCGAGCGUAGUAGCAUACAUCUCGCUCUGGGCGUGCUGCGGGUUCCGGCCGUUAAACCACCUUCAUAACCCAAGGUUGACCUCGGAUCAGGUAGGAAGACCCGCUGAACUUAAGCAUAUCAAUAAGCGGGGA